GAUGGGGGAGGCGAGACUACCGAGAGAGCUGACCAUGGACAGCUCCGGCGCGGGCCUGUGUCCAGGGCGAGCCGGCCUGGACCGAGGAACGUCGCGGGCUGAUUCAACCAGAAGACAAGGGCGGCUCCCGGAAGGAUGUGUUCGGUUGGAAGGUGAGGCAAGUGGACGACGGGUGGCGAGUGCGUGUUACUCUGCACCCCUGCGCUCGUCUAGGGUACUGCAUGCGCCCCACCAACCCGACUCCUACGCAGACGGUGGCACGGCCCGCAGGGUUCCCCCAGCGGAUGGUUCGCUCCACCCCGCCUACAGAGGCUUCUGCUGCGUUUCAAGACUCCCGCGUCCGACUCACAGCAGGAGACCUUGCCAGGCCUUGGCCUUCCGAACCUCUUAAGGGUUGGGGGCAGUGGUCUUUAGUGCUGCUCCCUGGAUCUCACACAGACUCAGCCUUGGGUCGGGCUAGUCUCAGGGACACCGGCCAGCCUCCGCCUUCAGAGCUGCGCGAGCUUGUCUAUCAUGGUACACAUACUGGAAUGAGCUUGUUCUUAACCUCAGCUUCACUGUCCUCCUCCCCCACAGAGACUAUUCCAGGAUGCGCGACAGACACACAAGACACUCGGUGAGGGUUAAAGAUCUUUAAAUAAGGAGCCAGUGACAAUAAAUAAUACUGUACAGGGG
ensembl:processed_transcript metastasis associated gene 2